rnacentral:ribozyme from 14 species
ACAGAGGAAGAAGAGAACGUGGACAACAAAGAAGGUCUGUCGUUUUCUUUUCUUUUUUUUUUUUUUUUCUUUUUUU